rnacentral:misc_RNA from 1 species
GUGAAUCAUCAAAUUUUUGAACGCAAAUUGCACUCUCUGGUAUUCCGGAGAGUAUGCCUGUUUGAGGGUCAGUUUAAAUAAAAAUCGGUGGGGUUGCUGCCUUUCGUGGUCACGCACCGGAUUUGGGUCGUCUUGCCUUCGGUUAAGUGGCCUAAAAUUUUGCAUGAUUCUUUCCAACCUCAGUGAAUGAGUUUAGGGACCGUUCGGAAAAC